UUGAGAACCUAUGUUUUAUGAAGCAAUUGAAAAUAAGGAGUGGAAGAAUGCGAUGAAGGAAGAAGUGAUGGCAAUACAAAGAAUUGAUGGUUAAACUGGAUAUUCAAAACAAGGUAUCAUGUAGAUGGAAGUGUACAGAAAAACAAGGCCAGACUUGUCGCAAAGGUAUACUUGCAACAACAGGGUAUUGAUUUUGAGGAGACAUUUUCUUAUGUUACUGGAUUUGAA
rnacentral:misc_RNA from 1 species